UGCGCAGGCGGAAACGUAAGUGCUUUGUGAAAGCCCAUGGCUCAACCAUGGAAGUGCUUGGCAAACUACGUUUCUUGAGGUCGGUAGAGGCUGUCGGAACUGUAGGUGUAGCGGUGAAAUGCGUAGAUAUCUACAGGAACACCAAAGACGAAGGUAGGCAGCUGGGCCGAUUCUGACGCUGAGGCACGAAAGCGUGGGUAGCGAACAGGAUUAGAUACCCUGGUAGUCC
rnacentral:rRNA from 1 species